rnacentral:rRNA from 1 species
CCAGACAGCCAGGAUGUUGGCUUAGAAGCAGCCAUCAUUUAAAGAAAGCGUAAUAGCUCACUGGUCGAGUCGGCCUGCGCGGAAGAUGUAACGGGGCUAAACCAUGCACCGAAGCUGCGGCAGCGACGCUUAUGCGUUGUUGGGUAGGGGAGCGUUCUGUAAGCCUGCGAAGGUGUACUGUGAGGUAUGCUGGAGGUAUCAGAAGUGCGAAUGCUGACAUAAGUAACGAUAAAGCGGGUGAAAAGCCCGCUCGCCGGAAGACCAAGGGUUCCUGUCCAACGUUAAUCGGGGCAGGGUGAGUCGACCCCUAAGGCGAGGCCGAAAGGCGUAGUCGAUGGGAAACAGGUUAAUAUUCCUGUACUUGGUGUUACUGCGAAGGGGGGACGGAGAAGGCUAUGUUGGCCGGGCGACGGUUGUCCCGGUUUAAGCGUGUAGGCUGGUUUUCCAGGCAAAUCCGGAAAAUCAAGGCUGAGGCGUGAUGACGAGGCACUACGGUGCUGAAGCAACAAAUGCCCUGCUUCCAGGAAAAGCCUCUAAGCAUCAGGUAACAUCAAAUCGUACCCCAAACCGACACAGGUGGUCAGGUAGAGAAUACCAAGGCGCUUGAGAGAACUCGGGUGAAGGAACUAGGCAAAAUGGUGCCGUAACUUCGGGAGAAGGCACGCUGAUA